GGUCCGAGUUAGUAUUGGGUCCGAGUUGGCGUGGGUCCGAGUUGGUCGUGGGUCCGAGUUGGAAUGGAUCCGAGUUGGUUUGGAUCCGAGUUGACCUUAUCCCACAUAAAUCAUAGCGGCAGGACGAAGAACUUUCGGCAGUAGGAUUGUACAUGUACUUGUAGGAACUAGGAAAAUGGGCAUCCUUGCCCUCGGACAUGUAGGACGUCGAACCUUCGUGUUCUGGAAAUACUCGUGGAUUGCAUUUUUCAUAUUUAAUAGUGACAUUUUGCGUUGUUAUUCUGUAAACAUUCCACGUAAGCCUGUCGAUUCGCUGUAUGAUGUUUCUGACAUAGGCAAACUGGGCCUGUCUAUAUUUGAUAACACCACAUUAAAAGAAGCGAUAUAUAGCUCCGAUCAGGCUUGGUUUGUACAGUUUUACUCAAGUUGGUGUGGUCACUGCGUGAAUUUUGCUCCAACGUGGAAGAUAUUUGCAAAUGACGUUAAAGGAUGGUGGAGAGUUGCCAGAAUAGCAGUUCUUAAUUGUGCUGAUCCAUACAACACAAAGAUAUGCAGUGAAUAUGUUGAUGUUGGAUUUCCAUCAUUAAGGCUUUUCAAGGCCUUUCAGCAAAAUGGGACUGGUGACUUAUGUAAAGCUCCCCGAGAUGUGAGUCAUCUGAGGCAGGCACUUAUUGAUCAUAUCUCCAAACACAGCCCACAGAACACACCAUCAAACUGGCCAAUGCUGUCUCCUGUGAAGGUCAAGUGGUUGUUGAACUUUUUUUGGAGAAAUCCAAGAACAAAGAUGAAGUUCAUAGCUGUUGUUUUUGAAGACUCAGAAUCAUACACAGGCAGAGAGUUGAUCUUGGAUAUGUCUAACUUGAAAAACAUACUGGUGGUUAGAGUACUUCAACAAGAACUUUCAAGGAACCCUUUACCCUCUGAAUGGAAAGUGGGAGAAUUACCGUCAUUAUUCAUUCUCAGACAGAAUGGAAAACCAUCAAAACUUUGGAGAAUGGGGAAUAGAGAGUCAUUCUUCAAGGCUUUGCAAGCUUACAUAAAGCAGACUUUGCCUGCUUCAGGUACCAAGGAAACCUUAAAUGGACAGGAACAGGAAAGAAAUGUGAUGAAUGGACCUGAUGAUAAUUUGAGAAAAACACCACAUCAUGAAGUGGACAAAAACAUCGAGCAAUUUGUUAAUCAUACCUCAAGAAGAGCUGUAGCAAGAUUGGUUGUUUACAUGGAAGAUUUGGAAUCUACAUUGAUUUAUUCACUGCGGUAUGAAGUUGCCUUGCAGAAACUGAUAAAAGCUGAUGCUAUGAGUGCCCUUCAGGCAUAUAUUGCUGUAUUAAACAAAUAUUUUCCAGGACGUCCCUGUGUCAUGAGUACAUUGAACAAACUGCAGAAAUUGCUUCAACCCCACGUAUACUUGUCAAAUGACGGCUGGUCUAGCAUACUUAAUCAGCUACACAAUUUUCAAAAUCCUGACUGUUUUUUUAAGAAUGAUGUGACAUGGGUUGGUUGUAAGGGAAGUGCAGCCAUCUAUCGCGGCUACCCAUGUGGCCUGUGGGUUCUUUUCCAUACACUUACUGUAAGCCACGCCAGUCAGGAUUCAUAUCAUGUUCAUCAGCACAGACAUGAGGGCAGUCUUCACACAUGUCCCUGGUAUCGUUGAUAUGAAGUGCAGUUGAGGCAGGACGGGUCCUGAGGAGGGUGGGAACAGCUUCUUCAAACUACUCAUAGCAAGACUGCAACGGACAGGAAUGAAAGCUACAGAUGAUAGUUCUCCAUGUUUGGAAUUCAACAUCAUUGCAAUUACAUGUAGAUAAGAUGCAUGGCUACCCACGAUAAAGGAAGGUGCUAUACAGCGAAGCAAGGAAAUUAAAAGGGAUUGGAAUGCAACGUCACUCUGUGGUGCAUAUCAGAAGCACGGCUACCCAAGAUGAAGGAAGCUGUUGGAUAACCAAGCAAAGAAAGUAACAAGAUGACACAGACGAAUGUUUACCAGCAUCAUACACGAAGGUCUUCUUUGGACAUGUUGGUGUGGUUGAUGGAAAUGCAAUUCAUACCAAGACUGUUCUACAGAAGGACUUCAUUAAAAUAUCAUGAUAUGUAAACAAAACGCAACCAAUAAGACGUGAGAUAUAUAGAUGCAUGUGUACCCUUACGAAAAUGUCCCAUGAGGGUUUCCCAUGGGAAAAUUUCCCAUAGGAUUACAUGGUGAAUUGGCCACCAUGUAGCAUGGGAUUUUUAGCCAUGGGAUUUUGCCCGUGUGUAUUUCAAGAACCCCAUGUAAUCUCCCAAAAUAUUCCCAUGGUGAUUUAAUUUUCAUAUCCCAUGGUGAUUUUCCCACACAUCCAAUGGUGAUUUACCCAUGUAUCCCAUGG
rnacentral:misc_RNA from 1 species